CGGUCCUAAGGUAGCGAAAUUCCUUGUCGGGUAAGUUCCGACCUGCACGAAUGGCGUAACGAUCUCCACACUGUCUCGGCCAGAGACUCGGUGAAAUUGAAGUCGCGGUGAAAAUGCCGUGUACCCGCAGAAAGACGGAAAGACCCUGUGCACCUUUACUAUAGCUUGACAUUGGGAUUUGAGCCUGCAUGUGUAGCAUAGGUGGGAGGCUGUGAACUCUGUACGCCAGUAUGGAGGGAGCCAUCGUUGAAAUACCACCCUUGUUUGUUCAGGUCCCUAACUCUUCGCCGUGAUCCGGUAAGAGGACAGUGUCUGGUGGGUAGUUUGACUGGGGCGGUCGCCUCCCAAAAUGUAACGGAGGCAUGCAAAGGUUCCCUCAGGCUGAUUGGAAACCAGCCGUCGAGUGCAAACGCAAAAGGGAGCUUGACUGCAAGAGAGACAUCUCGAGCAGGUACGAAAGUAGGUGUUAGUGAUCCGGUGAUCCCGAAUGGAAGGGUCAUCGCUCAUUGGAUAAAAGGUACGCCGGGGAUAACAGGCUGAUCGCAUCCAAGAGUUCACAUCGACGAUGCGGUUUGGCACCUCGAUGUCGGCUCAUCACAUCCUGGGGCUGAAGCAGGUCCCAAGGGUACGGCUGUUCGCCGUUUAAAGUGGUACGCGAGCUGGGUUUAAAACGUCGUGAGACAGUUUGGUCCCUAUCUUCUGUGGGCGUAGGAGAAUUGAAAGGGCCUGUCCCUAGUACGAGAGGACCGGGAUGGACACACCACUGGUGGACCUGUUGUCGUGCCAACGGCACAGCAGGGUAGCUAUGUGUGGAAGGGAUAACCGCUGAAAGCAUCUAAGCGGGAAGCCUGCCUUAAGAUAAGUUCUCCCUGACGCAAGUCCUGAAGGGCCGAGGUAGACGACCUCGUUGAUAGGCUGGAGGUGGAAGCCCUGUGAGGGGUGGAGCUGACCAGUACUAAUAGCCCGUGCGUCUUGUUUCU
rnacentral:rRNA from 1 species